GACGAACGCUGGCGGCGUGCCUAACACAUGCAAGUCGAACGGAAAGGUCCUGCUUUUGUGGGGUGCUCGAGUUGCGAACGGGUGAGUAACACGUGAGUAACCUGCCCCUGACCUUGGGAUAACUUCAUGAAACUGGGGCUAAUACCGGAUAGGAGCUCUCGCCGUAUGGUGGGGGUUGGAUAGUUUCGCUGGUUGGUCAUGGACUCGCGGCCCAUCAGCUUGUUGGUGUGGUAGUGGCUUACCAUGGCUUUGACAGGUAGCCGGCCUGCGCGGAUGACAGGCCACGUUAGAACUGGAAUGCGACACAGACUACUCCGGUAGGGAAGGGUGCAGAAGGGUGCACAAUGGGAGGAGGGAUAGUGUAGUAAAGCCACGUGGGGGAAGACAGCAAGCGGGUAGGGUUCCACUGUCGCCUGUGACGAGACGAGAGUGACGGUAAUGGGAGAAGAAGCACCGGCUAACUACGUG
rnacentral:rRNA from 1 species